rnacentral:rRNA from 1 species
CUCCUGGGAAGUCCUCAUGUUGCACCCC